UAAUCCAGGGGGUUCUUUUUUGUGAUGAUGCCAACAAGCGUCCUGCGGCAGUGAAGAGAAUUGAACGAGCAAAACAAAGCAGUGCUGAUCGAGAGGUCGCUUUGCUUCUUCAAUUGGACGACAAUCCCCAUGUCGUCCGCUACUUCUGCACUGAGAAGGACGGGCAAUUCCUAUACAUUGCCAUCGAGCUGUGUGCCGCCUCUUUAGAUAAGUGUUUUACUAAAGAAAAACCUUUUGACCUUCGUGGACUGAAACCAGUGAUGCUGCUGCAGCAGACCAUGAUAGGACUGGAACACCUGCACUCUCACAACAUAGUCCACCGUGAUGUGAAGCCCCACAACAUCCUGUUGAAAGACCACUCUGACUCAGUCACGGUCAAGAUCUCAGACUUUGGGAUGAGUAAGCAGUUGGUGGACGGCAGACAAAGCUACAGCAUGAGGUCGGGAGCCCUUGGCACCAUGGGCUGGAAUGCCCCAGAGGUCCUCGUGACUGCAGGAAAGUAAACCCUACCAGUGCUGUGGACAUCUUCUCUGCCGGCUGUGUGUUUUACUAUGUUGUGACAGGAGGAGAACAUCCAUUUGGAAAACCCAAUAGGCGGGCUGGUAACAUCGAGGAUGGCAAAUACAACCUUGACAGAUUACAGAAAGAAAAACAUGAGGACAUCGUGGCCACAGACCUGAUAGAACAGAUGCUGAGCAUUGGAGCCCCAGAGGAGGCCUUCUGCUGAGAGCGUGCUCAAACACCCCUUCUUCUGGAGCCUGAAGAAACAGCUGCAGUUCUUCCAGGACGUGAGUGACAGAAUUGUAAUGGAGACAUCGGAUGGUCCAAUCAUACAGCAGCUGGAGUCAAGGGGACAGGAAGUGGUGAAGAAUAACUGGAUGGAACAAAUCACAGCAGUUCUGCGGAAAGAUCUAGAAARACGUAAAGGAGCAUAUGAAGAGGGCUCUGUUAAAYGUCUUCUACGUGCCAUAAGAAACAAGAAACACCAUUACCACGAUUCUCCUAAGGAGGUCCAGGAGACUCUGGGCUCCAUCCCUGAUGACUUUGUCUCCUACUUCACCUCCCGCUUCCCCCACCUGCUGCUGCACACCUACCUCGCCAUGCGUUCCUUUGCUGAGGAGCGGACUUUCCAAGAUUACUACCUCGAGUUCAACACGAGACUUAGACGGCAGAAGAGAACACACCCAGAGCCUGACGUGACGACAACCAAGCCAACAACUAAAAAAAUGUGACCAUAGUGUGACGUCAGGCGCUCCGCUGAGAAGUACUCCAUCCCACACCAGCAAACCUCCAAUCUAUGUCAGUACACUGUAUUGUCAAGGUUAUUUUUACUGUUUACAUGAACAAUAUUGGUUUGUCUGAAGAAGAAGCAAUCACUUUCACUUGUAUGCAGAUGACAUUGUUGUGUAUGCUAUUUCCCCGAUGGCUGAUCAGGUUCUGUCAGAGCUUUAAUCUGCCUUUAUUGCCUUGCAGAAAGCCUUUAUUAACUGAAAUUGGUUCUUAAUGCAGGUUAAACCAAGUAUAUAUUAUAUUCCAAAUCACAUAAAAAUGUAUCUGAUGAUUUAUGCAUAAGUACAUUGGAUGGUGCCCUCAUUGAUUAUGUGCCCAACUAAUAKAUAUCUAGGCAUCUGGAUUGAU